AUGACCUUACUUGAACAGGAUCUGUUCUACAGGGUUGUACCUCUUAGUCCAUGAGCUCUAAGGAGUCAGGGCCCAAAAUCUGGUGGAUGAAUCGUGGCUGCUUGACCAGAGCGUGAUUAAUCGGUCUGUGCGUGGUUCAGUUCUUGUCCAUGGAUCCACAGAGGAUCGUUCUCAGCUGGUUUGAACCGGCUGCGAUGGUUAAGUGGUUGUCUGACAGAUU